rnacentral:rRNA from 1 species
UACGUAGGGCGCGAGCGUUGUCCGGAAUUAUUGGGCGUAAAGAGCUCGUAGGCGGCCUGUCGCGUCGGUUGUGAAAGCCCGGGGCUCAACCCCGGGUCUGCAGUCGAUACGGGCAGGCUAGAGUUCGGUAGGGGAGAUCGGAAUUCCUGGUGUAGCGGUGAAAUGCGCAGAUAUCAGGAGGAACACCGGUGGCGAAGGCGGAUCUCUGGGCCGAUACUGACACUGAGCACGAGAACUAGGGGAGCAAACGGG